rnacentral:rRNA from 1 species
UACGGAGGGUGCGAGCGUUGUCCGGAAUCACUGGGCGUAAAGGGCGCGUAGGCGGCUUGGUAAGUAGGGGGUGAAAUCCUGCGGCUUAACCGCAGGGCUGCCUUCUAAACUGCCAGGCUUGAGCACAGUAGAGGCAGGUGGAAUUCCCGGUGUAGCGGUGGAAUGCGUAGAGAUCGGGAAGAACACCAAUGGCGAAGGCAGCCUCCUGGGCCAAUACUGACACUCAUGCACGAAAGCGUGGGGAGCAAACAGG